rnacentral:misc_RNA from 1 species
UGGUUCUGGCAUCGAUGAAGAACGCAGCAAAAUGCGAUAAGUAAUGUGAAUUGCAGAAUUCAGUGAAUCAUCGAAUCUUUGAACGCACAUGGCACCCUCUGGUAUUCCGGGGGGUACGCCUGCCCGAGCGUCAUUUCAAACCUCAGAGUCAACGCCUUGGCUGCUGGCCAGCACCGCACUCUGCAGUUGGACUCGGUCCCAGACGGGACCCGUCUUCAACCGGUCGACGGCACCAUCCGGUCCCAGGCGUAGCAAUGCGAACCGCCUAGUGGCUCCGGGUCGGGCGCUCGUCCAACCACACGCACCUUAGAAGUUUGACCUCGGAUCAGGCGGGGAUACCCGCUGA